rnacentral:lncRNA from 1 species
CUGGGGGUUAGGAGGAGGCCGGGGCAGGGGGAAGAGGCUGAGGGCAUACCCGCCCCCUCCCCCUCGCAGCCGCCCGGUGGGGUCUCCCUACCGCCUAACUUAGGGGCCGAAGCGGAGAGCGUGAGCUCAUGGCCCAAAAACUGAAGGAGGAGUUCAGCAGAGUAACUGGAAGGACAGUGAUGGAGGUCUGCACUUGUGGACGUGAAAACAUCGUAUGCAAAUUAAAAGGACUUCAAAACUCUAGAGAAAGAUCUACAUCGGCAAAAAUUCCUUUUCUUCUGAAUUAUACCUCAAGAAAUGAUGUGCCUGGAGAAGCACAUUCCCAUGGAAGCUGACAUAACCAUCUUAUGACAAAGAAGUAGAACCAGGCUUAGGAAGAAGAUGAACCUGGAUGAGACAGAGGGAAGAUAAAAG